rnacentral:rRNA from 1 species
AGAGUUUGAUCCUGGCUCAGAACGAACGCUGGCGGCGUGGAUAAGACAUGCAAGUCGAGCGCUGAUUACAAGGUAGCAAUAUUUUGUGGUCGGAGCGGCGCAAGGGUGCGUAACACGUGGGUAAUCUGCCAUGAAGUUUGGGAUAACUUGCUGAAAGGCGAGCUAAUACCGGAUGUGACACUUAGGAGGCAUCCUCCGAUUGUCAAAGCUGGGGACCGUAAGGCCUGGCGCUUCAUGAUGAGCCCGCGGCCUAUCAGCUAGUUGGUGAGGUAACGGCUCACCAAGGCUAAGACGGGUAGCUGGUCUGAGAGGACGACCAGCCACACUGGAACUGAGACACGGUCCAGACACCUACGGGUGGCAGCAGUCGAGAAUUUUUCACAAUGGGCGCAAGCCUGAUGGAGCGACGCCGCGUGGGGGAUGAAUGGCUUCGGCCCGUAAACCCCUGUCAUUUGCGAACAAUUUGGUUCAAUUAACACUUGAACCAUUGAUAGUAGCGAAAGAGGAAGGGACGGCUAACUCUGUGCCAGCAGCCGCGGUAAUACAGAGGUCCCAAGCGUUGUUCGGAUUCACUGGGCGUAAAGGGUGCGUAGGUGGCGGGGUAAGUCGGAUGUGAAAUCUCCGAGCUCAACUCGGAAAUGGCAUUGGAAACUACCUUGCUCGAGGGUUGGAGGGGGGACUGGAAUGCUUGGUGUAGCAGUGAAAUGCGUAGAUAUCAAGCGGAACACCAGUGGCGAAGGCGAGUCCCUGGACAACUCCUGACACUGAGGCACGAAAGCUAGGGGAGCAAACAGGAUUAGAUACCCUGGUAGUCCUAGCCGUAAACGGUGCACGUUUGCUGUAAGAGGAAUCGACCCCUCUUGUGGCGUAGCCAACGCGUUA